rnacentral:misc_RNA from 1 species
GAUGAAGAACGCAGCGAAAUGCGAUACGUAAUGUGAAUUGCAGAAUUCAGUGAAUCAUCGAAUCUUUGAACGCAUAUUGCGCUCUCUGGUAUUCCGGAGAGCAUGCUUGUUUGAGUAUCAGUAAACACCUCAACUCCCUUUUCUUUUUUGAAAUUGGAGCUGGACUUGAGUGAUCCCAACGCUUUCUUCCAAGAAAGUGGCGGGUUGCUUGAAAUGCAGGUGCAGCUGAACUUUUCUCUGAGCUAUAAGCAUAUCUAUUUAGUCUGCCUAAAAAACAGAUUAUUACCUUUGCUGCAGCUAACAUAGAGGAGACUAGUUCUUGUGCUGACUGAUGCAGGAUUCACAGAGACAGCUUCGGCUGACUUUGUAAACUCGAUCUCAAAUCAAGUAAGACUACCCGCUGAACUUAAGCAUAUCAAUAAGCGGAGGA